rnacentral:lncRNA from 1 species
GGAAGAAGAGAAGAAAGGUCAAUCCAGGGAGCAAAGGCCCUCCAGCAAGACAGAUGGAGGAACAGGCCAAGUGUCUAUCCUCAAGAAGUCCGGGCCUGGAGCCAACAGGACCUCUUUCCCUGGACAGCAGGUACUCAGACAAAGGCAGAAGAGGCAUGGCCAACAAGAAAGAAUGAUGCCAGUCAGCAAACCAACUGUGGAGUUGCCGUCCUAGACAAGGACAUCAUUCAACUCUCUGAAUACCUCAAAGAAGCCUUACAAAGGGAGCUGAUCCUAAAACAAAAAAUGGUGAUUCUCCAGGACCUCCUGCCUGCCCUGAUCCGGGCCUCUGACAGCUCUUGGAAGGGACAGCUUAAUGAAGACAAACUGAAGGGCAAACUAAGAUCCCUAGAAAACCAGCUCUACACCUGCCUGCAGAAACACUCCCCCUGGGGGAUGAAAAAGGUACUGCUGGACAUGGAGAACCAGAGGAGCAGUUACGAGCAGAAGGCUAAGGCAUCACUGCAGAAAGUGCUGGAGGAGAAAAUGUGUGCCGAGCAGCAACUGCAGAGGGCGCAGGUGGAGAUGCUGUGCGGUUCCUGGGGCUGGGACCCUGGGAGCAGUUCCCAGAGCGAGGGAGCCAACCACCACUUGCAGGGAGCCUGCUCCUCAAAUUCAGCCUGCAUUUUAAACUUGAGGAGUUCAGUGUGUUCCCUUUCUCUGAGCUUCUGCUCCUUGGGAAACU